rnacentral:rRNA from 1 species
AGAGUUAAACAGUACGUGAAAUUGCUAAAAGGGAAACGAUUGAAAUCAGUGUUGUGCCGUGGAAAUCAGCUGCCCGUACUCGGGUGGUGCACUUUCCACGGCGCAAGUCAACAUCAGUUUGGGGACCUGGAAAAAAUCUCAAGAAGGUGGCUGGCUUGCCAGUGUUAUAGCUUGAGAUCCUACAGGGACCCGGACUGAGGUCAGCAGUGCAUAUUUGGGGCUAGUUGUUUUUCCAUUCCCACGUUUGCACAACUCAUUGAGAUGUGGAAGCGUGUGUUUGCCUAGGCGGCCAAGUUCACACCAGCACUUAGGAUGUUGACGAAAUGGUUUCAAACGACC